rnacentral:rRNA from 1 species
UGGGAAUUUGGACAAUGGGCGAAAGCCUGAUCCAGCAAUGCCGCGUGUGUGAAGAAGGCCUUCGGGUUGUAAAGCACUUUUGUCCGGAAAGAAAUCCUUGGCUCUAAUACAGUCGGGGGAUGACGGUACCGGAAGAAUAAGCACCGGCUAACUACGUGCCAGCAGCCGCGGUAAUACGUAGGGUGCAAGCGUUAAUCGGAAUUACUGGGCGUAAAGCGUGCGCAGGCGGUUUGCUAAGACCGAUGUGAAAUCCCCGGGCUCAACCUGGGAACUGCAUUGGUGACUGGCAGGCUAGAGUAUGGCAGAGGGGGGUAGAAUUCCACGUGUAGCAGUGAAAUGCGUAGAGAUGUGGAGGAAUACCGAUGGCGAAGGCAGCCCCCUGGGCCAAUACUGACGCUCAUGCACGAAAGCGUGGGGAGCAAACAGGAUUAGAUACCCUGGUAGUCCACGCCCUAAAACGAUGUCAACUAGUUGUUGGGGAUUCAUUUCCUUAGUAACGUAGCUAACGCGUGAAGUUGACCGCCUGGGGAGUACGGUCGCAAGAUUAAAACUCAAAUGAAUUGACGGGGUCAUA